GUAGAGCAGAGGACUGAAAAUCCUCGUGUCACCAGUUC
rnacentral:tRNA from 1 species